GUGUGUACUGGGUGUCAGGAAAUUCUGUAUUGAGCAAAACCAGCAGAUGGGGAGGUUUAGGCUAUUAUAGGUUAAAGAAGCUUGGAGAAAAAGCCUGCAGCCCACAGUCAAAUUAUGCAAGGCAGUUUGGCGCUAGUAAUAUAUUUUUUAAAUUCUAUAUGCGUCUUACACCUGUGAACAAUUGAUGUAUAAAGUCAAGAGAACCAUAUCACCCUCAUUCAACCAGAGCACCCAGGGAUGACUUCUGCCUCCAACUGUGUGGCACAUGCUGAGAAACCACCAAUACGUUAUCAAUAUGUCUGCUUGCUGUAAGCAAGAAGUGUCACCAAAGACCCGAUGGCUCAGAAACUUAUCCAACAAUUGGAAAAAAACAUAUUGAAGGAACAGUUCUGAAAUACACUACAGAACAUGCCGGAGUGAACACGCUGCUAUCAACAGUGAUACUGAAAAACCUGCGUUGCAUAGUACGUAGCUGAAAGGACUCUACAUCAGGGAAAACAGAAGAUGCAUCACAAAUAAAAUUUCCACAUGUCUGCCAGAAGAAUGUAAACACACAACAGUGACCAUGA